rnacentral:misc_RNA from 1 species
GAUGAAGAACGCAGCGAAAUGCGAUAAGUAAUGUGAAUUGCAGAAUUCAGUGAAUCAUCGAAUCUUUGAACGCACAUUGCGCCCCUUGGUAUUCCGGGGGGCAUGCCUGUUCGAGCGUCAUUAUAACCCCUCAAGCUCAGCUUGGUGUUGGGGCCUGCCGACUGGCAGCCCUUAAAAUCAGUGGCGGCGCCAUCUGGCUCUAAGCGUAGUAAUUUCUCUCGCUAUAGAGUCCCGGUGGAUGCUUGCCAGCAACCCCCAACUUUCUAUGGUUGACCUCGGAUCAGGUAGGGAUACCCGCUGAACUUAAGCAUAUCAAUAAGCGGAGGA